rnacentral:lncRNA from 1 species
AAUGGGAGGAAAAAAUCAAGGAAUGUUUAAAAAGCACUUUUUUUUUCUCACAUUCUCUGGUGGCAACUGAUUAAGAUUUUUCUUCAGUGAAUUUUGGUUAUGAUAUUUUUUACUACAGCAUGAUUUUAUCAGCAAUCUUUGUAUUACAAAAAAAAAUUCUUCGUCGCCACAGGAUUCCACGGCCUCCAUGUCAUCAUCGGCUCCACAUUCCUACUAGUAUGCCUCUUCCGCCUAAUCAAAUUCCAUGUCCCACCUACACCUCAGCUUCUACGCAGCAUUCACCCUAAGCAGCCUAGGCCUAGCCUUCCAUCGAACACACUUAAUCUCAGCCCUACUCUGUCUAGAGAGCAUAAUACUAUCAAUAUACGUCGCCCUAGCCAUAUGACCUAUUCAGAUGCAGGCACCAUCUUCUACUAUCCUCCCCAUCCUCAUACUAACAUUCUCCGCCUGCGAGGCAGGAGCAGGACUAGCACUGCUAGUAGCCUCCACCCGCACCCACGGUUCCGACCAUCUCCACAACUUCAAUCUCCUGCAAUGCUAAAAAUCAUCAUCCCAACUAUCAUACUCCUCCCACUAGCCCUCCUCUCCCCAUGCAAAUACCUAUGAACCAACAUCACAGGUCAUAGCUUACUAAUCGCCACCGUAAGCCUCCAGUGACUGGUACCAACAUACUACCCCAGCAAAGCCCUAACCUUUUAAAUACAAGCAUAUUAAAAUCUGCAAAAUUACCUCAGUUCUGGAAAAUGUAGAUGAUGCUUGUUGGCUACCGAGUUUAAAUGCAAAAAACCCUAAAUAUAAAAUACAUAUAUCUGUGCCUGUGAUGAUAAGAAAACACGCUGAUACAGUGUUAUAGUAUUGGGCUCAGCAGGUGCUGAUUUUCUCCUCAUCUCCAUCUCCUCCAUUCUCAGGUGAGCCCCCUUUUAUUUAAUCCUGUUACAGAUAAACUUCAUCUUCAGAUAAUCUUCUUAUUGGUCCCUAGGGCCUCUUGCUAAUUUUGCAACACACAAAACAGGUCUCAAGCAUUCCAUGCAUGUGAUUGUUUUCAAUCACAAUAAGCUACCCAGUCACAUUCACACAGCCAUGUUCUUCCAAGAAAUGAGAUUCCAUAGCAUCCUUCAUCGAACACACAAUUUAGCAAGGUCCUUAGGGUUAAUGUUUCCUUGUUCUAAUCUUGGGUCAGGGAGCCAGGUUCUUGGCACUGUUUCCACAAUACUGGUUCUCCUUCUUCCUCCAAAUAACAAACAGUCUUG